rnacentral:lncRNA from 10 species
AAAACAAAACCUGAAACAAAAGACAAGUGUUGGCCAGAUUGUGGAGAAGUUGGGAGCCUGUACACAGUUGGUAGAAAUGCGAAAUGAUUCAGCCACUAUGGAAAACAAUACAAAGGAUCCUUGAAAAAUGAGAACUAGAACUACCAUAUGACCCAGCAGUCCCACUUCUGGGUAUUUAUCCAGAAGAAUUGAAAUCAGAAUCUCGCAGAGAUAUCAGUACUCCCAGGUUCAUUGCAACAUUAUUCACAAUAGCCAAGAUGUGGAAAGAACUGAAAUGCCUACUGGCAGAUGAAUGGAUACAGAAAAUGUGAUAUAUAUAUAUACAUAUAUAUAUAUAUAUGUAUAUGUAUAUAUACAAUGAAUUAUUUUUCAGCCUUAAAAAGGAUAUUCUGUCAUGUGUGGCAAGAUGGAUAAACCUGGAGGACAUUACGCUCCAGUGAAACGGGUACUGCAUUUUGAUAAAUUGAAGGUUUGUGGAACGCUGCAUUGAGCAAGUCUAUUGGUACCAUUUUCCAACAGCAUG